rnacentral:lncRNA from 1 species
GGAUUGUACCCACACUUAAGCACAACGACAGUCCCUUGUUAAUAAGGGACUGGAGCUGCAUUUAAGCCCUAUAAUGGUCCCUUGUAUAGUCCGUGGUAAUGCAAAACAUCUAGGAUGGUAAUGGGAAUCUAGACUAAUAAAAGAGACUGUAGCUACA